rnacentral:rRNA from 1 species
AUUGAACGCUGGCGGCGUGCUUAACACAUGCAAGUCGAACGAUGAAGCUGGAGCUUGCUCCGGUGGAUUAGUGGCGAACGGGUGAGUAACACGUGAGCAAUCUGCCCUUGACUCUGGGAUAACUGCGGGACACUGUAGCUAAUACCGGAUACGAGACCUGAAGGCAUCUUCGGGUCUGGAAAGAAUUUCGGUCAAGGAUGAGCUCGCGGCCUAUCAGCUUGUUGGUGAGGUAAUGGCUCACCAAGGCGACGACGGGUAGCCGGCCUGAGAGGGUGACCGGCCACACUGGGACCGGGACCCGGCCCAGACUCCUACGGGAGGCAGCAGUGGGGAAUAUUGCACAAUGGGCGAAAGCCUGAUGCAGCAACGCCGCGUGAGGGAUGAAGGCCUUCGGGUUGUAAACCUCUUUUAGCAGGGAAGAAGCGAAAGUGACGGUACCUGCAGAAAAAGCACCGGCUAACUACGUGCCAGCCGCCGCCGUAA